GACGAACGCUGGCGGCGUGCUUAACACAUGCAAGUCGAACGGAAAGGCCCUGCUUGCAGGGUACUCGAGUGGCGAACGGGUGAGUAACACGUGGGUGAUCUGCCCUGCACUUCGGGAUAAGCCUGGGAAACUGGGUCUAAUACCGGAUAGGAGCCAUUUUUAGUGUGAUGGUUGGAAAGUUUUUUCGGUGUAGGGUGAGCUCGCGGCCUAUCAGCUUGUUGGUGGGGUAAUGGCCUACCAAGGCGGCGACGGGUAGCCGGCCUGAGAGGGUGGACGGCCACAUUGGGACUGAGAGACGGCCCAGACUCCUACGGGAGGCAGCAGUGGGGAAUAUUGCACAAUGGGCGCAAGCCUGAUGCAGCGACGCCGCGUGGGGGAUGACGGCCUUCGGGUUGUAAACUCCUUUCGCUAGGGACGAAGCUUUUUGUGACGGUACCUAGAUAAGAAGCACCGGCUAACUACGUG
rnacentral:rRNA from 1 species